GAUGAACGCUAGCUACAGGCUUAACACAUGCAAGUCGAGGGGAAACGAUAGAGAAAGCUUGCUUUUUCUAGGCGUCGACCGGCGCACGGGUGAGUAACGCGUAUCCAACCUGCCCACCACUUGGGGAUAACCUUGCGAAAGUAAGACUAAUACCCAAUGACGUCCAUAGAAGACAUCUGAAAUGGAUUAAAGAUUUAUCGGUGAUGGAUGGGGAUGCGUCUGAUUAGCUUGUUGGCGGGGUAACGGCCCACCAAGGCGACGAUCAGUAGGGGUUCUGAGAGGAAGGUCCCCCACAUUGGAACUGAGACACGGUCCAAACUCCUACGGGAGGCAGCAGUGAGGAAUAUUGGUCAAUGGGCGAGAGCCUGAACCAGCCAAGUAGCGUGCAGGAUGACGGCCCUAUGGGUUGUAAACUGCUUUUAUAAGGGAAUAAAGUGAGUCUCGUGAGACUUUUUGCAUGUACCUUAUGAAUAAGGACCGGCUAAUUCCGUGCCAGCAGCCGCGGUAAUACGGAAGGUCCGGGCGUUAUCCGGAUUUAUUGGGUUUAAAGGGAGCGUAGGCCGGAGAUUAAGCGUGUUGUGAAAUGUAGAUGCUCAACAUCUGCACUGCAGCGCGAACUGGUUUCCUUGAGUACGCACAAAGUGGGCGGAAUUCGUGGUGUAGCGGUGAAAUGCUUAGAUAUCACGAAGAACUCCGAUUGCGAAGGCAGCUCACUGGAGCGCAACUGACGCUGAAGCUCGAAAGUGCGGGUAUCGAACAGGAUUAGAUACCCUGGUAGUCCGCACGGUAAACGAUGGAUGCCCGCUGUUGGCCUGAAUAGGUCAGCGGCCAAGCGAAAGCAUUAAGCAUCCCACCUGGGGAGUACGCCGGCAACGGUGAAACUCAAAGGAAUUGACGG
rnacentral:rRNA from 1 species